rnacentral:rRNA from 1 species
AUUGAACGCUUGCGGCAGGCCUAACACAUGCAAGUCGAGCGGGGUUUUCGGACCUAGCGGCGGACGGGUGAGUAAUGCGUAGGAAGCUACCCGAUAGAGGGGGAUACCAGAUGGAAACGACUGUUAAUACCGCAUAAUGUCUACGGACCAAAGUGUGGGACCUUCGGGCCACAUGCUAUCGGAUGCGCCGACGUGGGAUUAGCUAGUUGGUGAGGUAAUGGCUCACCAAGGCGACGAUCCCUAGCUGGUUUGAGAGGAUGAUCAGCCACACUGGAACUGAGACACGGUCCAGACUCCUACGGGAGGCACCAGUGGGGAAUAUUGGACAAUGGGCGCAAGCCUGAUCCACCCAUGCCGCGUGUGUGAAGAAGGCCUUCGGGUUGUAAAGCACUUUCAGUAGGGAGGAAGCGUUGUGUGUUAAUAGUACACAGCGUUGACGUUACCUACAGAAGAAGCACCGGCUAACUCUGUGCCAGCCGCCGCGGUAAAAC